UUAAAUGAAUUUUAUCCAAACAAAGGCAGGAACAUUGGAUAAAAGCAAUAAAGAGAACAGACCGCAAAUUAAAAUAUGACAGUAUGCAGUAAACAUUUAAUAAGUGGAAUAAACACCAGCUAUUUUAAAUGUAGGAAAAGGAGAAACUGCUGGAACCUAAUUUUACACAAAUGUUUUUGACUAUUGAAGAUUUGGAUAAACAACAGAAGUUACUUUGGGCUAUAGCUAUGUGCAGAUUUAUUUCCUUGUGGAUUACUAUGUUUAUUCUUUUUAACUAUACUUCCUAUAUUGUUUGUGAGAUUAAUAUUAUUAUUUAAUUGAUUAUAUUAAUAUUUUGUAAUAAUAAUCAAUGCUUUGGUUUAACAAAAUAGACAACUUAGAAUAGAACAA